rnacentral:rRNA from 1 species
UACGGGGGGGGCAAGCGUUGUUCGGAAUUACUGGGCGUAAAGGGCUCGUAGGCGGCCAACUAAGUCGGAUGUGAAAUCCCCAGGCUCAACUUGGGAACUGCAUCCGAUACUGGAUGGCUUGAAUCCGGGAGAGGGAUGUGGAAUUCCAGGUGUAGCGGUGAAAUGCGUAGAUAUCUGGAGGAACACCGGUGGCGAAGGCGGCAUCCUGGACCGGUAUUGACGCUGAGGCGCGAAAGCCAGGGGAGCAAACGGG